CGUCGUUUGGGUAAAAUACCCAGGUACAGCCAACUUGGCUGUACCCCCUGCCAUUGUUAGGCGCGUGAAUCCCACGCGCGGGUAGUUAAUUUUGAAAAAAAAAAUGGCACGUGAGGGUAAUAAUUUCGCGCAGGAAUGGCCUAUAAAUACAAAAAAAAAGAGGAAAAUCAUUUCGAAAACCGUUCAAAUUCUCAACACGCAAAAAAUUUUCUCUCUCCUCUGCCAACUCUUCUACUUCGUUGUUUUCUCUCUCUUAAAACCGCCAUUAAACUUCCUGCAACCACCUCAAUCAACUUUCUCUCUCUUCAAACCGCUACUAAUCUUCAUUAUUAAAGCUGAAUUUCCACAAAAUAUCAAGAGAAGAAAUCUGUGACUUCUUUUUACUGAAAAAAAAGAGAAAAAUGGAUGUUCGUGACGAAAUUGACAUGAACAAGCUUCAAAAUCCACCGAAAAGCAAAAAAAAAACGAAGAUGCCGAAAGAAAAAAAGGAAACGACUGGAAGAUCUAGUGAAGAGCAAAAAAUCGGGAAUGCAAAGCAACUAGACAUGAAGGA